UACGUAGGGUGCAAGCGUUAUCCGGAAUUAUUGGGCGUAAAGAGCUCGUAGGCGGUUUGUCGCGUCUGCUGUGAAAACUGGAGGCUCAACCUCCAGCCUGCAGUGGGUACGGGCAGACUAGAGUGCGGUAGGGGAGAUUGGAAUUCCUGGUGUAGCGGUGGAAUGCGCAGAUAUCAGGAGGAACACCGAUGGCGAAGGCAGAUCUCUGGGCCGUAACUGACGCUGAGGAGCGAAAAGCAUGGGGAUCAAACAGG
rnacentral:rRNA from 1 species